CAGAGUCAGAGGGUCAUCAGGAAGUACUGGAGGCUCUGGCUUGCUGACAGUUGACAUGCUACUGGACAGAGCACGCAGGAGAUAGACCUCCAGGUUAAGGAUCAGUCUAAACAGCAGUGUGGUCUCAAGUGCCAACAGGAUUCCUGCUUACUGUUGAGCCAAACCAAACACUUAGAUUGCAUGACUUCAAACAUUCAGCUAUGGCUACUUGCUCUGCAUGGUGAAAUACCUAAUUCACAUAUGGAUGAAUAAAAAGUAGUAUCCUUUACUCUCCUA